GGACUUUCUGCUGAAGUGGUCGUUCUUCGGCGCUCGCAUCGUGCAGAGCCUGACGCUAAACAACGCUCAGAGCUUCGGUUCGUUUCAUCUCAUCCGCAUGCUGAUGGACGAGUAUGUGCUGCUCGCUAUUGAAGCCCAGCUGAACGGAGAGCAGGAUGCGGAAAUGCAGGCCAGCUUCGAAAAACAUUACGCAAUCAACGACACAUCACGCAUCUUCAACAUGUCGGCCGGACCCGGAACCUGUUUCCUCGCCAAUCGAUCCGGGGCUGGUA